rnacentral:rRNA from 1 species
UACAUGGGGUGCAAACGUUGCUCGGAAUCAUUGGGCGUAAAGCGCGCGUAGGCGGUUACUUACGUCGGGUGUGAAAGCCCUCGGCUUAACUGAGGAAGUGCAUCCGAAACUGAGUAGCUAGAGUACGAAAGAGGGUCGCGGAAUUCCCGGUGUAGAGGUGAAAUUCGUAGAUAUUCGGAAGAACACCAGUGGCGAAGGCGGCUCACUGGACUGGUAUUGACGCUGAGGUGCGAAAGCGUGGGGAGCAAACAGG